CAAUAGCGUAUAUUUAAGUUGUUGCAGUUAAAAAGCUCGUAGUUGGAUUUCUACCGAAGAUAGCCGGUCGGGUCUUCGACCUUGUAUCUGGUUUUGUCUUUGGUAUCCUCAUAGGGAACGUUUCUGCGCUUUAUUGCGUGGUGCGGUAUCUAUGACUUUUACUUUGAGGAAAUUAGAGUGUUCACGGCAGGCAAACGCCUUGAAUAUAUUAGCAUGGAAUAAUAACAUAGGAUCUUCGUCCUAUUUUGUUGGUUUCUAGGGCUAAGAUAAUGAUUAAUAGGGAUAAUUGGGGGCAUCUGUAUCAACGCGUCAGAGGUGGAAUUCUUGGAUUGCGUUGCGACAAACUACUGCGAAAGCAUCUGCCAAGGAUGUUUUCAUUGA
rnacentral:rRNA from 1 species